UACGUAGGGGGGCUAGCGUUGUCCGGAUUUAUUGGGCGUAAAGAGCGUGUAGGCGGCCAGGUAGGUCUGCUGUGAAAACUCGAGGCUUAACCUCGAGAUGUCAUCGGAAACCAUUUGGCUAGAGUCCGGAAGAGGAAAGUGGAAUUCCUGGUGUAGCGGUGAAAUGCGCAGAUAUCAGGAAGAACACCAAUGGCGAAAGCAGCUUUCUGGGACGGUACUGACGCUGAGACGCGAAAGCGUGGGGAGCGAACAGG
rnacentral:rRNA from 1 species